ACCUGCGACAGCUUCCUCUGCGACUUUGGCAUGCUGCUUGGCAAGGUCGUCUUUUAAACUGACGUUUAAAAGAGCUGCAGAGAGCCUCUCCGUUAGAAUCUUGAUAUCCGCCGUUGCCUCUUCUUCUUCUAGUUCUUUCUCUUCUUCUCUUGUUACAGGUUUAGAUAUUAAUUCCGGUGAGUGAGAUCUCUGUGUUUUCACAUACCCAAACACAUCAAAACCACAACACAAAAGAAGAAGAAACCAUAACAAAAUCAUAUUAAAUUCUCCACAAAAGUCUCUCUUAAAUCACAUGCUCACAUUAACUCCAUUGAUAGAUGGAAUCAACAAUCAAACAUAGACACUCUUACAUAAACUCAAACAAAGGCACUUCUAGAAACAGAUCAAAAUGGUAACACAAUACCAAAGGUUUCAGGAGAUGUGAACAUAAACAACAAGUCAACAACUAAUCUUCUUGUAGUUUCAAUCACAUUCUACCAUUACAAAAUCUACCAAGUUCUUCUGAAAAAGUCUCUAUUCUCACAGUAAAUCCAUUGAUUAAGCUGAGCAACAGCAAAAAGAUGCAUUGCUACAUAAAGCUCAAAACUUUCGAUUCAGGGAGACCAAAGCAGACCAAGAAAGUGUUACCUGAUCGUCUGAGAAUCUUUCAGAAUGAGAAGAGAGUGAGCCUGUACUCUCUGUCUCGCCAGGACUUUUCUCAGAAGACUUUCUCCGCCAUAACCAGCUUCUCCGGUCCAUCUCCUCCACACCCACCACCAAACAUUCAAACACAAUUCAUCUGCCA